rnacentral:lncRNA from 1 species
GUGAUUCCAUGAACAAUCAACUUAUUGUUUCAACAAAAUGGACUCUGAGGUCCAUGUCCAACCCUAUCCCCUCCAUUUUAUGAAAGAACUCCUUCUUUUGGUAGGUCUUAAAACUUUUCGAUGAUGUCCCUGUAAGUGAAAAAAAAAAUAGGGUUUGCCCUACAUCUUUAAAAUAAAACUGAAUUGAAAAUUCAAAUGACCCCCCCACCC